UACGGAGGGUGCAAGCGUUGCUCGGAAUUACUGGGCGUAAAGCGAACGCAGGCGGUUUAUUAAGUCGGGCGUGAAAGCCCCGGGCUCAACCUGGGAACCGCAUUUGUGACUGCAUCGCUGGAGUACGGCAGAGGGGGAUGGAAUUCCGCGUGUAGCAGUGAAAUGCGUAGAUAUGCGGAGGAACACCGAUGGCGAAGGCAAUCCCCUGGGCCUGUACUGACGCUCAUGCACGAAAGCGUGGGGAGCAAACAGG
rnacentral:rRNA from 1 species